GGAUGUAUAGCUCAGUGGUAGAGCAUUCGACUGCAGAUCGAGAAGUCCCCGGUUCAAAAUCGGGUGUCCC
rnacentral:tRNA from 1 species